AUUGAUCCUGCCGGACCUGACUGCUAUCGGAUUGGUACUAAGCCAUGCGAGUCGUUGUACAUACAAGGCGGACUGCUCAGUAACACGUAGUUAACUUAACCUAUGGAUGGGCAUAACCUCGGGAAACUGAGAAUAAUACCCAAUGGACCACAGUGCCUGGAAUGGCCUGUGGUUGAAAUGAUUUAUCGCCGUAGGAUAGGACUGCGGCCUAUCAGCUUGUUGGUGAGGUAAUGGCCCACCAAGGCUAUAACAGGUACGGGCUCUGAGAGGAGGGGCCCGGAGAUGGGUACUGAGACACGGACCCAGGCCCUAUGGGGCGCAGCAGGCGAGAAACCUUUGCAAUGUGCGAAAGCACGACAAGGUUAAUCCGAGUGUCUCCUGCUAAAGGAGUCCCUU
rnacentral:rRNA from 1 species